rnacentral:rRNA from 1 species
UACGGAAGGCAGCAGUGGGGAAUAUUGCACAAUGGGCGCAAGCCUGAUGCAGCCAUGCCGCGUGUAUGAAGAAGGCCUUCGGGUUGUAAAGUACUUUCAGUCGUGAGGAAGGUGUUAAGGUUAAUAACCUUAGCAAUUGACGUUAGCGACAGAAGAAGCACCGGCUAACUCCGUGCCAGCAGCCGCGGUAAUACGGAGGGUGCGAGCGUUAAUCGGAAUUACUGGGCGUAAAGGGCACGCAGGCGGUUAAUUAAGUUGGAUGUGAAAUCCCCGGGCUUAACCUGGGAAUGGCAUUCAAGACUGGUUAGCUAGAGUCUUGUAGAGGGGGUAGAAUUCCAUGUGUAGCGGUGAAAUGCGUAGAGAUGUGGAGGAAUACCGGUGGGCGAAGGCGGCCCCUGGACGAAAGACUGACGCUCAUGUGCGAAAGCGUGGGGAGGCAAACAGGGAUUAGAUACC